rnacentral:tRNA from 1 species
GCAGUCGUGGGCCGAGUGGUUAAGGCGACAGACUAGAAAUCCAUUUGGGUCUCCCCCGCACAGGUUUCGAAUCCUGUCGACUGCG